CCAGGGCCGGGCCUCCUGUGGGGAGAGGGGCUUGGGGAGGCAGCACUGAGGCAGCCCAGGAUGUAAGCCCAGGGCAAGCAAGACAUGGAACCUUCCAGGCCUCAGCCACACACCUGGACCACAGCACACAACUAUUUAGAGAAGGCACUGCUGACCGGACCAGAGAAGGACCAACGGGGUGGCAGUGCCUGUUCCAGAGAAAACUGAAGGCUGGGGACCUGGCCACUAGGCCGUGUGUUCAUCUGCGUCCCCAAGGUGGACACUCAAGCCAGGCUAGGCUGCCAGGCAGGCCUGGAGGAAAGUGUGAGAGAGCGUUCUGGAGCAGGCUCGGGUGGGUAUGCACUUGCUGCCCUGAUUGUCUGGACAGUGAGCUGGAUGCCCGCUGCCCCAGCUAGACCCCUGACUGGGGGGUACUCACCUCCAUGGUGUGUCCGGCAUGCACCCAGGCACUUGGCCCAGUGCUGGUGUGGGGAGAGGAAGAGGGUGCAGGCCUCAAGGGCAGAUGGGGACCCCAGGCCACUGACCCACCGGAGGUUGGGUAGUGGCACAGGACAAAGGAUGCCAGGCUUCACAGCAACAAUCCCCAUAAGUUCCACUGGGCACUGGGCUGCCCACCACAUCAGGCCUCUCUCUGGUCUCUGAGAGUUCCGGGUCCCAGGGUGGACACGCCAGCUGGAUUGGGCUAGGCUCCGAGAGGGGACAGAGUGGCAAUGGACUGGCCUCCGAGCAGCUGGGAAGGCAGCAUGCCCUGGCCCAGUGGAGGGUCUAAGGCAGGGCCCCUGGGGUAGCAGUGUGGGUGCCCUUCCUCCCCUGCGCUGCCAGCCUGGGCCCUCGGGUAGGAGAGGAGGGAGCAGGAGGCAACAGCGAUUCUCCAGGGCCAGGCACCCCACCACCCUGAGUGGCCACAUUUCCUCCAUGGGCUCCCAGAGCCCCAGCCCACCUAAAGCUGAGCCCUCCCUGGGGGCAGCCCCUACCCCAGUGAGCUUGGGGGCACAUGGUCGCCGCCCCCACCCUGAAGUGAGUGGCUGGGGCACGUGGGGGCCUCACCUCUCCUCAGGGCCAUCCCUCGUGCAGAGCAGUCCGCAGGCGGGCAGGGAGUGGGGCGCGUCUGUUGGGGCCGGCUGCUCCUGCCCUCUGGAUUUCCCCACUGCCUCUGGGACAGCCAGCACCCUUGUCACUGGCCAGCCCAGCCUGCUGGCCCCAGCUCCAUUAACCCCCUCCUGCCGGGCUGCCAGCAUCAGCACUGGGGCCCAGGGUGCAGAUGGCACAGGGGACAGGCUGGGGGCUGCAUCUGCCCUGACGCAUCUUCAGGGUGCAAGGUGGCCCGGGGUGCAGCUCUAAGGGACAACAGGGGCCCAUACCCCCAUCUUCCCAACCCGCCCAUCUUCCCAUCCCCCUGCAGGGCUGGGUGGAGCAGAGCUGGGGCUGCAGGCAAUACUGGGGGGGGGGGGGUCUCCCUUGGAGCAGCCUGUGAGGAGCUGGUGCUCAGCCAGCUGCCCUGCCUGUGGGUAGGGGCCCCUCAGGGGGCUCCUAGGGUCUUCCCUCCCAGCAGAUGGCCAUGUGGGAGUUAAGCAGGAACCACACGUCUCCAAAUGGGCCUGCCCAUCUACCCCCGGCAUGCUGACCACUCCCCCCCUCCUCCCCAUUUCCUAACUGCCUGGGUGGGGUCCUUGUUCAAGCUGCCAGGGGCCUGGCCCAGCCUUGGCUUCUCCCGUGACCUCAGGGUCAGCUGCUGUCUGGCCACUGCCCCUCCCCCUAGCCUCUUCUAGGAAUGCUUGGCAGGGCCCCGGCCACUUUGUGUUUGUUUUCCCCAACAAUGUCCUCCCAGGAAGAGAGUGGGGGAUGGCUGGCCUCGGGCGCGAGGUCUUGUGGCUGUGAGACCAGCCCCCACCAGCAGUGGGCCCCGUCCUGCCCUUCAGGGCUCCUUUGGGGCCACGGCCACCCUGCACUGCACAGGCCCUGGGACAGGUACCCAGUGCCCAGCCUGAGGUCAGCCACAGGUCAGACAUGGUAAGAAGGGGUAUGGCUGCUUGAUUCAGGGCACCAUCCUCCCCUCCACCUGGGGAGUCCUGGGCUCUGCUCUUCCAGAUCUGACCACAUCUACCCCAGGCUGCCAGGUACCAUGCUGCCCUCCAGCCACCCCUUCCUCCUUUGCUGAGGACCCUUCCUCUGGCUGCCAGACGUGCCUGCCCACCAGUCCCUCUGCUCUGCCUGGGGCGGGGGGCCUGUGCGGGAAGGGGCCAGAAGGCACUGAAAAAGGCAAAACUGAGUCUGGGGAGGGCAAGGCUUGUCAAGCUUUAGGAGACUCUUGAACCUCUUGGUGAGGCAGAGGAGGAGUCAGGUCUGCCUCCUGAAAGGUGCAUGGGUGAGGAGAGAAGAAGUGAGGUACGCAGGAGCUGUCCGGGCCCAGGAGAGGCUGGAGGCCAGCCCCGCCCCCAACCUCGUGGCGCCCCCUCCCCAGCUCAUCCUGCAGCAGUGCCGAGGGGCGGCUUUGUCUUCCUCCCUUUAUUGAGCUUUGAUUUUUUUCCAGGUCGUUUCUCAGCUUCUCUUCUGAGAAAUUAUAGAUCUGCAGGGAGAAAGUCCACACCCAGAAAUUUACACGGUAAACAUACAUUUACACAGUAGAAAGUGCGGACUCAGCAGGAGUCCGGGGCCAUGGGGCCUCUUCACUGGGAAGCUCUCUGCAUGCGGGCCAGACGCACGUGGACUGGAAGGAGGGUUAGUAUUCCUGUCUCCUCACACUUGGAGGGUUGGGGCUGGAAACUUGCUGUAAAUCCCCAGUCGAGCUUGUGUGGCAGAGAACCCUUAUCGGGACUGUGGCAGGCAGGUUAGGUAUUUGUAAACCUUUCUCGAGUCCUGCGGUAACACUGGUGUUCAGCCUGCUGAGUUCAGAAAAGACCUCUGUUCUGGCCGCCCGGGGCCAGCUCUGUCCCUGCUCCCCCAAAGCGGCCAGUCCUGACCCAGGCUGACUACUGCCCUGGUCUCUCUUUACAGUUCACCCCCGAGGGUCCCCCCGAGGAGUCUGGUUUCUGGUCUUUGUGGAAAUGGUGUUGUACAGAAGCCCCAGGCCCAGCCACUCGUGUGCCAAGUCAUAGCAUCCCUUCCCUCCUUCCUGUCGUGGUGCUACGACCCUGUGGGGCCCUUGUGCGUUCCUGUGGUCCUGAGUGGACCCACUGGGACCAGCCUGUGUCAUCCUUGCAGGUAAGGCCAACCCCUUCCGGGGUAGUUAGGGGUCACACCUUCCUGGAGCCAAUAGGGGUGCCCUCAACACCACCCCCACCCUGUCUUCUCAGCCCUGAAGGUGGGGGGACAGUGGCUUUCAUUGUCCUGUGUUUGUUCAAUCACUAAUGAUGGCAGCUGUUCACAGGGAGGUUCAUUGGCCAGUGGAUUGUCCUUUUCUGUAAAGUACAUGUUUAAGUCUUUUGCUGUCAGUGUAACUUAUGUUUUUUUUAAAACUGUAUGCUGGAUGGAAGCCCCUUGUUAGGUAUGUGUGGCCAGUGUUGUCUUCUGCACUGUGGUUUGCCUCCAUUCUCUUCAUUGUGAUUCUGGUGAGAGUUCUUAAUUUUAACAUGGUCUCAUAAGGUGUUCCUUAAAUGGAAAAACUGCAAAAAAAGUUUUUUUUAUCUAGG